rnacentral:sRNA from 1 species
AGGCCUUGUCCGCCGAGCUCUGCCGACGGCCUGGGGGGAGGUAGGAGGCAGAGACGGAGGACCCACUCAGCGGCCGCGCCCAGUUCUACGGGCAUUCUUGACGGCCUCGGGGUGAAGCCCUUGCCACUGGCAGGGCCGGAUGACUCUCAUCCGAACCCGACAGCUAACUUCGCAGGCGCAAACGAGAGGCCCU